rnacentral:rRNA from 1 species
CCGGCCCGCCGCCCCCGCCCCCCUACGGGAGGCAGCAGCAAGGAAUCUUGGGCAAUGGGCGAAAGCCUGACCCAGCGACGCCGCGUGAGGGAUGACGGCCUUCGGGUUGUAAACCUCUUUUCUCAGGGAAGAAUAAUGACGGUACCUGAGGAAUAAGUCUCGGCUAACUACGUGCCAGCAGCCGCGGUAAUACGUAGGAGGCGAGCGUUAUCCGGAUUUAUUGGGCGUAAAGUGGGCGUAGGUGGUCUUUCAAGUCGGAUGUGAAAUCUCCCGGCUCAACUGGGAGGGGUCAUCCGAUACUGUUGGACUUGAGUACAGCAGGGGAAAAUGGAAUUCCCGGUGUAGUGGUGAAAUGCGUAGAUAUCGGGAGGAACACCAGAGGCGAAGGCGAUUUUCCAGGCUGAAACUGACACUGAGGCCCGAAAGCGUGGGGAGCGAACAGGAUUAGAUACCCUGGUAGUCCACGCCUUAAACUAUGGGUACUAGGUAUAGGGAGUAUCGACCCUCUCUGUGCCGAAGCUAACG